UAAGUUAAUAUAUGUAAAGUGCUUAGAACACCACCUGGCACUUGAAGUUUGGAGAAACAGGACCUACUCUUCACUACAUCCAUCCUGGACUGGAGAGCGUUGCCAGUGAGAGCAUGAAGUCCCGCUGUUGAUCUUCACAGGCAAAGCACCUCCUCCUCCUCUUUUGAUGAUGCCUCCCGGAAGUCUUUUCUUCUCACCUGGCAUCUUCCCCUUGACUCCAAGUACUUACGAGUCACUCCUCUGCUUGCCUCCCCGCUCCUCAUCAUCGUGAUUACUGGUUUGGACCACUGGAGAGCCUGAACACCUUACUGAAGUCUCUAAAUCUCCAUUUCCUCUUCUGUAAAGUGCCGACGCCUCACAGUACUGUGGUGAGUGAAAUAAUGAAAUAGUAAUUAAAUGAGAUAAUCAGGUAAUGUAUUUACUGAUCCUUUACUCUGGAGGUUCUAGAAUGUUCUUGUAGUAACCAAAGGUAGAUGACUCAUU
rnacentral:lncRNA from 1 species